UUGACGUGUCAGCGGGGUGUUCUACAGUUUCUGUUUGAUCGUGAUGGAGAAGUAGACUGUGACUCUGACCUUUGUGAAUAAAGGGACGCACAUGGGUUAAGACCUAGUUCCCUGGGAAGUACUAUCUAGAGUAUCCUUUGAAACAGUUGUGGGUUCGAGUGACUUGAGAAGAAAAUCCUCCCAGUGGGACAUAGACGGAAGCACUUUGCUGGAAGAAGGAAAGUCGUUCAUGCAGCACUGGGGCACCUGUGAGUGUUGGACAGAACGCUCGGAACAGAUUACGUUUUACAUCAAUACAAGAAUCUUAUUCUUAAAGGACGUUGGAACUCUGGAAAUGGCUCAAGUUGCGAAUGCUUUCUGCGGUUGCUCAGAUUAUCGGCUUGUGGCAUUCCUGUGUUAAGCCGUCCAUGAGCCAGGCUGUGGGUUCCCCUGUGACCUCAGCCAGGCGGCCCUGGUCUGCUGUUGGCCUUCUGGAUGGAGAACCACCCUCCGGCAUCGGCACCCUAAUGAUGUUGAUGGCUCCAUCUGAAACAAAACUGCCUUCUAGAUCAGCUCUGUUCUCUUCCUGAAAGCCUAACUGCUGAGUUUUAGAGCAACGCAGGAAGAAAACCUGAAUGGCCGGUCAGAAGGAACCCCACACCAGAAUGAUUUUUAUUCGCAGAUGCUCUUGCAUCCUUGUGUUAACAUAACCCUGGAAAAUGGAUUGAUGUUGCCUUAUGACUUUGGAAGAUAUGUAUUAUUUAUUAUAAGAAACAACUACUUUAUUAUAGGAACAAAAUAAUAGUAUUUAUCACAGUGCAUUUGUCAUCUACCCUUGGAAUUUCUGUGAGUAACCACCUUAUCUGUGUGUUUCACAGAAUUGAUGUUUGUCCGUAAGAGGGUGGAACUCAACCCACAGACCAUCCCAGUUAUGACUUGGGUGUGUGUGUGCAACGGCAUAGUACCCAGUGCAUCCAUGUUUACUCUCCAGAGAGCUCACACCAGCCUGCUUCCUGGACUGUGCAGAGAAAGAGAGAUCAUAAUAUGCUUAAUGUGACUUUCCAGUAUAUGCGAUACAGAGUUGAAUUAGUCAGCUAUAACAAUCUUAUGUUUUAUAUUAAAUUCCUUGCUACCCUCCUGGAAGGGAGUUUGACUAUAGCAAAAACUAUAACAAGUGAUCAUCAAAGAAGUGUUUAUAAAUUGAUUAUUACUUCCUAGUAAGCGUUAAUCACAACACGGUACCUCAAAAAUCUAUGAGAUGCAGCUACACCAUGCUUAGAAAUUUAUAGCUGUAAAUACUCUGUUAAAGAGAUUUUAAAUCAAUAGUCUAAGAUUCUACCUUAAAAAAAUUAGAAAAAGAGAAGCAACAAAAGUCCAAAGGAAACAGAAGGAAAGAAUAAAGAUUAGUAUGGAAAUCCGUGAAAUAGGAAACAAAAACAAUGCGGAAGAAUCAACGAAACCAAUAGCUGGGUCUUCAAAAAGAUCCACAAGUUUGGCAUACUUUGAGCUACAGUGACAGAGAAGACAUGAAUUGCCAUUACCAAGAAUGAAAGAGGGGACAUUACUAACAACCUUACAGAAGUUAGGGUUGUAAAUAAAUGCUGUGUACAACUUCAUGCCAACACACUGGACAAGUCAAAUGAGAUGGAAAAAUCUUAGACACAAGCUACCAAGAUGUAGUCAAGAAGAAAUGGAAGGUUUUAGUAGGCUUUUAACAAAUUGAAACAAAGCCAAGGGCCAGAUGGCUUCACUGGUGAAUGCCACCAAAUGUUGACAGAAGAAAUCAUGCCAAUCUUUUCACAGAUUUAGAAAAUAGAAGAGGGGUAUACUUACUAGCUCUGUGCUCUGAGGCUCCUAUUACCUUGAUAGUAGAGCGAGACAAAAACAUAAUGAGAAUAUUGUGGACCGGUAUCCUUCAUGAAUUCUGAGUAUAGCUACAGAAACUUCAUCAACUCUAGUGACACACAGGCACAUCUCUGAGAUACUGCAGGUUUCUUUCCAGACCACUCUAAUGAAGCCAAUAUCACAAUAAAGCGAAUCAAAUGAAUUUUUUGGUUUCCCAGUACAUAUAAAAGUUACGUUUACACUGUAAUCUGUUAGUGUGAAAUAGCAUUAUGUCUAAAAAUAGGUACAUCCCUUAUUUAAAAAUACUGCUAAAAAUGCUAACCAUUAUCUGAGGUUUUCAGGGAGUUCUAAUCACUAAUCCCAGAUAGCCAUAACAAAUAUAAUAAUAAUGAAGGUUGAAAUACUGUAAGAAUUACCAAAAUGUGAUGCACACAUAAGAAGUGAGUAGAUGCUGUUGAAAAUGCCGAUAGACCUCCAAUGCGGGGUUGCCACAAACCUUUGAUCUUAAAAAAAAGCAGUACUUGUGAAGAGCUAUAAACAAGGUGUCCCUGUAUAGAAUGGUUAAGGUACAUGACCAAGUGAGUUUUAAUAUCAGAAACCAGAUGUAUUCAUUCCAUCAUAUUAACAGAAGACACAAGUCAGCUCAACAGGUGGGAAAAAAGCAUUUGACAAAAUGUAAUACCCAUUCAUAAUAAAAACAAAAAAUGUGGGAAAGGAGGGAAUUUUCUCAGCCUGAUGAAGAGCCUUCAUAAGAAAUCUACAGCUGGGGCACCUGGCUGGCUCAUUCCCCGGAGCGUGCUACUCUUGAUCUCAGUGUUGUGAGUUCAAGUCCCAAGUUGGCCGUAGAGAUCACUUAAAAUCUUAAAAACAAAAAAAUCUACAGCUAACAUCGUACCCAGUGAUGGCAGAAUGACUGUGUUUCUCGUAGGAUCAGGAACGUCAAGGGCAUCCACGCUCAUCCUUUCUACUCAACAUUGUACUGGAGUCCAGUGAGAACAAAAUAGCAUCCAGAGAGAAAAGGAAGAAAAAGUUGUUUUUAUUGCAGAUGACAUGAUUCUGUGAAAAAUCUUAAGGGCUAAUGAAUUCAACAUGAUGGAAACCUAGAUCUAUAUGUAGAUGUCAACCACGUUUUCCUAUAUACUAGUGAACUUUCUGAAAUGAAAUUAAUUCUAUCCAUACAACAUCAAAAAGAUUAAAGUACUUGGGAAUAAAUUUAAUACAAGAUCGUACACUGAAGACUGCAAACAUUAGGGAUUUCAUGUUCGUGGGUUGGAAGACUCAUUGGUUACUAAUAUGGAGAUCGUUCUGAGAAUCCCUGCAGGCUUUGUUGCAGAAAUUAAGCUGACCCUAAAAUUUGUAGGGACAUACAAAAGCCUCCCAAUAUUCCCAAAGGAAUAGUGAAAACAAAAUUGGAUAAAGUUCUUCCUGAUUUCAGAACUUCCUGUAAAUGUACCAUAAUUAAAAUAGUGUGUUAGUGGUAUAAGGAUCUGUCUAGAUCAGUCUCUCUCUGGAAUCACAAAUGAGAAUCCUGAAAUCAGCACUUAACAUUCACGGUAAGUUGACUUUCCUCAGAGGCACCAAGGCAGCUCAACAGGGAGAAGCGGAGUACAUGAAGCUGGAAAAAUUUGAUACCCACAUGCGGAAGGAUGUAGUUUGGCCCUUUACUGUAUACAAAUACUAACUCAGAGUGCCCCAUGGACAAACCUGAAUGUAAGGGCUAACACUGGAAAACUCGGAAGGAAUCCUAGGUGAGAGUCUUCAUGACCCUGGGUUCGCAGAGAUUUCUCCUAUACUGCCCCCCAAAAGCGAAUCCAUAAAAGGCCGGGCUGACACGUUAGAUGUCACCAAAGCCAAAAAGUUGUAUCCUGAGCCACUGUGAAUGAGAGAAGCUACAGACUGGGAGAAGUGUUGGCGGAUCAUGUCGAUAAAAGGAUCGGUAUCCAGAAUCUAGAAGGAACGCUAACAAGACGGCCCAAGUGAAGAUGGGAAGGAGUUGAGUCAGACGCUCCUCUAAAGAAGGCAUGCGAGCACCGGAAAGAGGUGCUCAGCGUCCUCGGUCCCUGGGGAAAAGCAGAAGAGAGUGGGGUUGCCGCUUCUGCUGGGACAGCUGUCCUGUGCAGGACAGGCGGUGAUGGGUUGAACGUGGGAAGGACAGCGUCGCCGCUUGCUAAAAAGUCACAAAGCCGAGACCCUAGUUCCUAGGGGCGUACCCGUGAGGACUGACCCGUCUACAGAAAACCCGCGAACCGGUAUUGGCAUUUACAGCAGCCCCAGGGUGGACGUGGGGCAGCUUUCCGGUGGCCACUGUGCAGGGGGGCAGCGUGGCCUGUCGUGGGGUGGAGCCCUGCUCGGGGACGGCAGGAUGUGGCUGGAGGAGCCUCAGAAACACGAAGCCUGAGAGGAGCAGGUGGGAACGACCACUUACCGGGUGAUUCCGUUUCUGUGUAAGGGCUCGAGGACGGAAACGGAGACGGAGAGCGGACUCUGGGCCGAAGGGCUGCGCUGGGAAGGGGGAGCACCUGCUGGUGGGCGCGGGCGUUUCGGGGUGAGGGAAGGGUCUCCAGUUAGAUCCUCGGGACCCCCGUCACCCCCGCCACAGGGGCAGGGUUCUCGGCCGUGCUGUCCUCCCGCGGCCGCGUGGGCCGGGGACACCCUCUCUCGUCACGAGAGAACCCCAGGACAGGCCCGUGGCACCGCGGGUGAGAGAGACGGUGAGGAGACGCGCUGCGGGGCCGCGAGCCACGGGCUGGGGCGGGGUCCCGGCGGCCGGCUUCCCCUCGUGGCCCCGCGGAGGCACGGGGCACGGCACACGCUGCUCACGGGGCGGGGGCGGGGCCGGCCUCUGUCCUCGGGGAGCCGCCAGCUUGGGCCGGGGCGGCGGCCCGGCUGCUGGCGCGGCUGCGACCUUCCGACCUUCCGACCUUCAGUCCCGCUGGAACCUGCCAGGCCGCCGCGCCCGCCUCCUCGAGUGCCCUCGGGGGGCGGCAGGCAGGUGGUGGCCGAGGGCCCGCGGCGCCGCGAGCGAGCUCGCCGCGGGCGGCGCUGCGGAAGAGCGCUUGUGAGGCGACGCCGCCGUCCGCCUUCCGCCUUUGCUACCCGGCGUCCCCGGAGUCCUCCGUGAUACGGCUGCUCGGCGGUUGCCGUGAAGACCCCGGACUUGGCCGUGUGUCUCUGAAGUUGAGAAAACGUUGACGAUCGAGAAAUCAAAUUCUUGCCAAGACCUUCCUCUACCCAAAGCUCCCAUGAGGAAUCAAGCACCAGGUCCAGGGGACACUCAGCCAACACGCCCACAGAAGGCCCAUCUCUUCUCACCGUUUGCCAGAGAUUUGGGUGACAGUGACGCAGCCACCUGCCUUGCGAGGAAAGACAACAGGUGCGUGGUCCCGGCAACUCGCCACAAUGGGAAAACCCGCGUUUCAGUGACUUAGUUUACGAAUAACUCAUGUUCAGCUCCGUUAGCUGUGGAAGCAUUUGGUCCUGCUCCCCCAGCCUCCCUCCCUGGGGAAUAAAAACACACAAGAGUGGUUUAAACGAGAGAAACAUUUGCUUUUCUUUCCUCUGGGGCCUCCUGAGCUGCUCAGGGGCCAGCAUCCUACUACGCCGGCCUCAUGACCCAACAUGGCAGAAAAGGUGAGUGGCACUGGAUGAAUCCGGAAGGUUCCCAAGGCUACAGGCCCCCUGCCGGCAUCUCCACUGGGGUCCACUCCACCUGCAGGGACACCGGGCUGCACACAGUCGGAACAGGGACAGAUGGGCACAAAGCCUCAUCAUCAAAGGGCCACACUUCCUCCCUUAACACUCAGGACCCACCAGAGCUGAGGACCCAGCCUUUCAAGCCCGUCCU